rnacentral:rRNA from 1 species
GACGAACGCUGGCGGCGUGCUUAACACAUGCAAGUCGAACGGAAAGGCCCUGCUUUUGUGGGGUGCUCGAGUGGCGAACGGGUGAGUAACACGUGAGUAACCUGCCCUUGACUUUGGGAUAACUUCAGGAAACUGGGGCUAAUACCGGUUAGGAGCUCCUGCUGCAUUGUGGGGGUUGGAAAGUUUCGGCGGUUGGGGAUGGACUCGCGGCUUAUCAGCUUGUUGGUGGGGUAGUGGCUUACCAAGGCUUUGACGGGUAGCCGGCCUGAGAGGGUGACCGGCCACAUUGGGACUGAGAUACGGCCCAGAAUCCUACGGGAGGCAGCAGUGGGGAAUAUUGCACAAUGGGCGGAAGCCUGAUGCAGCAACGCCGCGUGCGGGAUGACGGCCUUCGGGUUGUAAACCGCUUUCGCCUGUGACGAAGCGUGAGUGACGGUAAUGGGUAAAGAAGCACCGGCUAACUACGUG